rnacentral:sRNA from 1 species
GCAAGUGGAAGAUAAGUCAAGAUUGCAACGUCCUGUUGCUGACUUAUCCAACCUACAUUAUGUAGG